rnacentral:rRNA from 1 species
GGUCCAGACUCCUACGGGAGGCAGCAGUGGGGAAUAUUGCACAAUGGGGGGAACCCUGAUGCAGCGACGCCGCGUGGGUGAAGGAGUACUUCGGUACGUAAAGCCCUAUCAGCAGGAAAGAAAAUGACGGUACCUGACUAAGAAGCCCCGGCUAACUACGUGCCAGCAGCCGCGGUAAUACGUAGGGGGCAAGCGUUAUCCGGAUUUACUGGGUGUAAAGGGAGCGUAGACGGCGACGCAAGUCUGGAGUGAAAGCCCGGGGCCCAACCCCGGGACUGCUCUGGAAACUGCGUCGCUGGAGUACGGGAGGGGCAGGCGGAAUUCCUGGUGUAGCAGUGAAAUGCGUAGAUAUUAGGAGGAACACCAGUGGCGAAGGCGGCCUGCUGGGCUUUAACUGACGCUGAGGCUCGAAAGCGUGGGGAGCAAACAGGAUUAGAUACCCCCGUA